GAUGAACGCUGGCGGCGUGCCUAAUACAUGCAAGUCGAGCGAACGGACGAGAAGCUUGCUUCUCUGAUGUUAGCGGCGGACGGGUGAGUAACACGUGGAUAACCUACCUAUAAGACUGGGAUAACUUCGGGAAACCGGAGCUAAUACCGGAUAAUAUUUUGAACCGCAUGGUUCAAAAGUGAAGGACGGUCUUGCUGUCACUUAUAGAUGGAUCCGCGCUGCAUUAGCUAGUUGGUAAGGUAACGGCUUACCAAGGCAACGAUGCAUAGCCGACCUGAGAGGAUGAUCGGCCACACUGGAACUGAGACACGGUCCAGACUCCUACGGGAGGCAGCAGUAGGGAAUCUUCCGCAAUGGGCGAAAGCCUGACGGAGCAACGCCGCGUGAGUGAUGAAGGUCUUCGGAUCGUAAAACUCUGUUAUUAGGGAAGAACAUAUGUGUAAGUAACUGUGCACAUCUUGACGGUACCUAAUCAGAAAGCCACGGCUAACUACGUGCCAGCAGCCGCGGUAAUACGUAGGUGGCAAGCGUUAUCCGGAAUUAUUGGGCGUAAAGCGCGCGUAGGCGGUUUUUUAAGUCUGAUGUGAAAGCCCACGGCUCAACCGUGGAGGGUCAUUGGAAACUGGAAAACUUGAGUGCAGAAGAGGAAAGUGGAAUUCCAUGUGUAGCGGUGAAAUGCGCAGAGAUAUGGAGGAACACCAGUGGCGAAGGCGACUUUCUGGUCUGUAACUGACGCUGAUGUGCGAAAGCGUGGGGAUCAAACAGGAUUAGAUACCCUGGUAGUCCACGCCGUAAACGAUGAGUGCUAAGUGUUAGGGGGUUUCCGCCCCUUAGUGCUGCAGCUAACGCAUUAAGCACUCCGCCUGGGGAGUACGACCGCAAGGUUGAAACUCAAAGGAAUUGACGGGGACCCGCACAAGCGGUGGAGCAUGUGGUUUAAUUCGAAGCAACGCGAAGAACCUUACCAAAUCUUGACAUCCUUUGACAACUCUAGAGAUAGAGCUUUCCCCUUCGGGGGACAAAGUGACAGGUGGUGCAUGGUUGUCGUCAGCUCGUGUCGUGAGAUGUUGGGUUAAGUCCCGCAACGAGCGCAACCCUUAAGCUUAGUUGCCAUCAUUAAGUUGGGCACUCUAAGUUGACUGCCGGUGACAAACCGGAGGAAGGUGGGGAUGACGUCAAAUCAUCAUGCCCCUUAUGAUUUGGGCUACACACGUGCUACAAUGGACAAUACAAAGGGCAGCGAAACCGCGAGGUCAAGCAAAUCCCAUAAAGUUGUUCUCAGUUCGGAUUGUAGUCUGCAACUCGACUACAUGAAGCUGGAAUCGCUAGUAAUCGUAGAUCAGCAUGCUACGGUGAAUACGUUCCCGGGUCU
rnacentral:rRNA from 1 species